CCCCUACGGGAGGCAGCAGUGGGGGAUAUUGCACAAUGGAGGAAACUCUGAUGCAGCGACGCCGCGUGAGGGAAGACGGUCUUCGGAUUGUAAACCUCUGUCCUCUGUGAAGAUGAUGACGGUAGCAGAGGAGGAAGCUCCGGCUAACUACGUGCCAGCAGCCGCGGUAAUACGUAGGGAGCGAGCGUUGUCCGGAUUUACUGGGUGUAAAGGGUGCGUAGGCGGCUUGGCAAGUCAGUAGUGAAAUCCAUGGGCUUAACCCAUGAACUGCUAUUGAAACUGUCGAGCUUGAGUGAAGUAGAGGG
rnacentral:rRNA from 1 species